UCAUGCUGACGCGGAGGGACAUUACAGAGUUGAAAACUCCAACCCCUGUGAACCUACCUUUACUGUUGCUUCGGCGGACGAUGGCCCCCCGGGUCCGGACGCCGCCGGAGGUUACAAACCCUGAAUCUUUGUGUAUCUCUGAGUACAAAACCAAAUAAUUAAAACUUUCAACAACGGAUCUCUUGGUUCUGGCAUCGAUGAAGAACGCAGCGAAAUGCGAUAAGUAAUGUGAAUUGCAGAAUUCAGUGAAUCAUCGAAUCUUUGAACGCACAUUGCGCCCGCCGGUAUUCCGGCGGGCAUGCCUGUCCGAGCGUCAUUUCACCACUCAAGCCAACUUGGUGUUGGGGCACCCGGCCGCCCGGCGGUCGGGGCCCCCAAGAACAUCGGCGGUCUCGCUAGGACCCUGAACGCAGUAACUCGCGGUAAAACGCGCUUCGUUCGGAGGCUUCCCUGCGGGCUCCAGCCGCUAAACCCCCUAAACUUCUUAGGUUGACCUCCGGAUCACGUAGGAAUACCCGCUGAACUUAAGCAUAUCAAUAAAACAGAGAGAGAC
rnacentral:rRNA from 1 species